UGGUAUGUGUAUGAAAGUGUGUGUGUGUCUGUGUUUCUAAGUGUGGAGGUCAGAGGAUUUUGGCAAUCCUUCUGUUCUUUUUUUCUACCAUGUGAGUUCCAGGGCCUGAACUUAGAUCACCAGUCUUGGUGACAAAAGCCUUUAUCUGAUGAGCCACCUUAUUGGCCCAAGUAGUCAACCUCAGGGUGAAUCAGAAAGGAAUUUUUCUUUCCGUUUCUUUUCAGGUUUUAAAGUGUAGGUAUUACUAUCAAUACAUGAACUCUUGCUGGCAGAAAGAUGAGUUAGUUUUGUGACCCCAUGAAACCAGUGGCUGUGUUUCCAUUACCUGGGCCAAGGGUUCCACACUGGGGUAGGCAUCUCUCUUACCUUCUUGGGAUGUUUUAUUAUUUUAAUGAGAAAUGGAGCAUCUUGGAUAUUUAGGAAACCAAUUAUUUUUCAGUAUUUUUAUUUCUAGAUAGUGUUUAUAUUUCUGAAUGUUCCUGUGUAGCUAAGAGGGUCAGAGAACCAAGAAUACAUUUGAGGCUAUGCAAGGAAGGCUCCUUAGGCUGAGAGGAACUAGAGUUUUUGUGAAAGAAGAGAAAUAAGAGAAGAGACAAAUCGAAAUGCAGAUCAAAUUACGGUUCCCUCUUCUGUUGAUUUCCUCAGUUUCAAACUCAAAUAUCAAACAAAAGUAAUAGGCACAAUUUAGCAUCAGAGAUAAAGGACAGACUCCACAUAAGAAGAAACAAGCCAGACAUUGGUGGCACACGCCUUUAAUCCCAACACUUGGGAAGCAGAGGCAGGCGGAUCUCUGUGGGUUCGAGGCCAGCCCUGGUCUACAAAGCUACACAGAGAAACCCUUCUGGAAAAACCAAACAUGGAAAAAAAAAGAAUAAACAAACAUCUGUUUACUGAGGAAAAUGGCACAGUAGUUGUCACUGAUACUUUUUCCCAUACAAAAUAUAAUUUCUAGCUUCAUCAAUGACCUCAUCCUUUAGGGCAGGCAGUGGAGUGCUCACCUGGCCAUGUAUGAAGCCUGCACUGACCCCCAGGACCACUGGCAUGUAUGAAGGCCUGUAUUGACCCCAGAACCACAUACACUGGGUGUGGCUGGUGCCACCUGUGACCCUAGCAACCAAGAAGUGGAAGCAGAUCAGAAGGUCAAGCCUGGAGGAGGCUGAGUAGAGUCACUGGGAAGUCCCAUUGCUUCAUCUGAAAAUACAGUGGUGACACACUCCUUGAGAAGUCGGAUCCUCUGGAGGAACGCAGCUGCUGGCUGCAUUUUACUCGGGUCAUUGACAGCGGCCAGACAGAGUCCACCCCUGGUGUCGCCUAAAUAGUAAGGGAAGCUUACCACGUGCGGCACAGUCAUUAAAGCUUGCACGGAGCAUGGACACUCGACGCUCUGAAGUUGGCCUUUUUCAAACCCACGUCUCAGGGCCUGUGCUAGUGAAAUGAAUUCCUCCUGUCAUUUCAGGCACACGGUCCCAGCCCCAGUCAUGCCUUAGAGGCUCCUGGAGACCUCUGUAAAGCACAGAUGUCAUGAUUCCAUGCGAGGAGGGUAGCCUUGCAGUGGGGGGUUAACGGCACCACGAGCGUCCUAUAGCACUGUGCUGUCUUGUUUUAAAUAUGUUUCAGCAUGAACUUCUAGGUUAUUUCCCUUCAAGUGAAGACAAGCUCUUUUCGGAUGGGGUGCACCUGACAUGACUUUGCAUUAGUCUCACAAGAAAAAUCCAUAAGCCAAACACCACUGAAAAUUUCCUGCUUCUCUUCAUGCCCCGAGAAAGGCAAAUGCGUGCAUGCUAUGUGUGUGUGUGCUAUGUGUGUGUGCCUGUGUGUAUGUGUGUGCCUGUCUGGGCAUGUGUAUACACUCAUACACACACACAAAUACAUGCAUUUGUUCUCAGAUGCAUAUGCUAUCAUAUGUGGCAUAUAUAAUACACAUGUAUGCAUGCGUGCAUAUGUGCACAAGUGUGUAUUCUAUUCUGUGUCUGCAUGCAUACAUAUGUACAUAGGUGUAUAUGUGC